AGGGUGGGGCUUGGAUGCCUUCUCCUUGAGUCUAUGGGGAAAUUUUCUCCCUUUUCUGGUUUACAAGACCAGUGUCAUUACUAUACUACGCAGACUCUUCAUUUUAAAAGACGCGAGGCGCUGAGACCGCACCUUCUGGGAUGUGGGACUCCGAUCCCCCAAGGCGAUGGAUGGUGUUCAUGUGAAAGCUGGUCGGCCGGAAACACACUCUCGAAGGAACGGUUCCAAGAGCAUUUAGUUCUUCUGACCUGAAUCUCAGUCAUUCUGAACCUAACAAAUACUCGUUAAGUGUCUCCUCUAUGCCAGCUUCCGGGGCUGCAACAGGGGAAGCGAAUGGGAUUGAAGUCGUCCCUGCCUUCCUUCCCCUUAGAGGCGACAGAUAAGUCGUAUUUUUAUUGGAUACGUGUUGCAAGGAGAACUCUCCUAGACCCCGUGAGGGCGACAAAGACCAAAAUAUGUAUGAAAAUGCCUCAACCGCUGGAGCACCUGGGGGAAGAAGAUAGGGAUAACACACUUAAUUACAAGACUGAAAUUUAGAUGCAGGCAGAACACCUUUAGCCUCACUAAAGGAUGUUGUGUUGACCGAAACUAGAUUUCGAAGGAGAAGGUCCUAUUAGUGUCACAAAUUCAACUGAGGUCCAAGAAGCUAAUGAAGCUUAAGCUUCUGACGUUCCUGACUUGCACAAGUCAUUCCCUGGGUGAUGAGUGUGGACAAUUCGGAGCAGUUAAGGUUAGCAGUUGCUCCACACACACACAAAAUUGCAAUGCCCACAUCAGAAACAUACAGGGCCAAUGACACUUUUAGGGGUCCUCGAAAAAAAUUAUUUUUGAAUUCAGAAGGAAAAAAGAAUGUAAUCCAGCCUAGCUUAGGUUCAUCAUUAUACCAACUCA